rnacentral:rRNA from 1 species
UACAGAGGGUGCGAGCGUUGUCCGGAAUCACUGGGCGUAAAGGGCGCGUAGGUGGCCCGACAAGUCAAUGGUGAAAGUUCGACGCUUAACGUCGAAUCGGCCACUGAUACCUGUUGGGCUGGAGCACUGUAGAGGCUCAUGGAAUUCCGGGUGUAGCGGUGGAAUGCGUAGAGAUCCGGAAGAACACCGGUGGCGAAGGCGGUGAGCUGG